ensembl:lncRNA
CUAGCUAAACUAUCAGUCCUUACAAGUACAUGCUGCCGCUUUGAAAAACAAAAUACUCUUUCCACUAGGGAACUAAAAAGGGAAAUAUUUCAGGGAGAAAAAAAGUAAAUCUCAUAGUAAGGAACAGAAUGCACAAACAGAUGUAGAUAUGAUCAAGUUUGUAGUUUUAGUUGUCUUAUAUAAGUUUGGUUAGAAUCGUAACAACAAUAAGUCAUCUCAAAGGUAUCCUAAAGUGAAUAUGGACAGGCGUCUCUAUUGAAGAUCCUGAGAAGAGUAGAAGCUCCCCCUGAUGUAUCCUGCUCCAGAAAAUAUCUUGCCAUUAGAACUUUUGAAAGAUUUUUUUUUCUGACCAAUUUGCUACAAUUUCCUCCAUGGGCCUUAAAAUCCUCCCUCCUUUCAACUGUGUCUUCCAUCCAUGGUACGGAGCUGUUAGUUUUCCACAUGAACUUCAAAAAUCUAUCCAUCAGCUUCUACUCAGCGGACUGUAUUCUGGAUAAAUCAGCUUGACGCCUCAAAACCACGAAUUAUGUUGUAGAAAAUAGGAAG